UAGAGUUUGAUCCUGGCUCAGAACGAACGCUGGCGGCAGGCUUAACACAUGCAAGUCGAGCGCCCCGCAAGGGGAGCGGCAGACGGGUGAGUAACGCGUGGGAAUCUACCCAUCUCUACGGAACAACUCCGGGAAACUGGAGCUAAUACCGUAUACGUCCUUUUGGAGAAAGAUUUAUCGGAGAUGGAUGAGCCCGCGUUGGAUUAGCUAGUUGGUGGGGUAAUGGCCUACCAAGGCGACGAUCCAUAGCUGGUCUGAGAGGAUGAUCAGCCACACUGGGACUGAGACACGGCCCAGACUCCUACGGGAGGCAGCAGUGGGGAAUAUUGGACAAUGGGCGCAAGCCUGAUCCAGCCAUGCCGCGUGAGUGAUGAAGGCCCUAGGGUUGUAAAGCUCUUUCAACGGUGAAGAUAAUGACGGUAACCGUAGAAGAAGCCCCGGCUAACUUCGUGCCAGCAGCCGCGGUAAUACGAAGGGGGCUAGCGUUGUUCGGAAUUACUGGGCGUAAAGCGCACGUAGGCGGAUUGUUAAGUUAGGGGUGAAAUCCCAGGGCUCAACCCUGGAACUGCCUUUA
rnacentral:rRNA from 1 species